rnacentral:rRNA from 1 species
GACAGAGGGUGCGAACGUUGCUCGGAAUUACUGGGCGUAAAGCGCGUGUAGGCGGGUGAUCAAGUCAGGUGUGAAAUCCCUGGGCUCAACCCAGGAACUGCACUUGAAACUGGUUGCCUUGAGUGUUGGAGAGGGAAGCGGAAUUCCUGGUGUAGAGGUGAAAUUCGUAGAUAUCAGGAGGAACACCGGUGGCGAAGGCGGCUUCCUGGACAAUUACUGACGCUGAGACGCGAAAGCGUGGGGAGCAAACAGG